CCCAAAUCGCUCCCUCUCUCUCUUCCAUGGGUCUCCUUUGCUUGUGAUUUUUUUUAUACCAUCACUAUUUGUUUUUAUUCUGGUGCCAGUGAAGGGGUAUUUUCCCCUCUUGGUGAUUGAGUUCAGUGUAGGAGAGUAUGCGGUGACGGCUGUUUCAAACUUCCUUUUGGACAUUGUGGUUUGGGUGCUCCGUGAUUUGAUAAAAGGGAAUGCCUGGAAUAUGAGGGACAAACAGACAAGGAAAAGCUGGCAGGUCCUGUGACCUCCUCCUCUCCCCCUCUCCUCUCCAUCCCCUCCUCCUGCUCCUCCUCUCCUCGUCACAUCUUUGAACUCUCCAUCGCUGCUCCGGUGGCCGGGACCAGAGACCCCCUGCCUGCAGCCCCACCAAUCUCCACUCUGGAAUUCAGGCAGAGAUCUUUUGGACAACCUCUCCCUCUCACCGUUCCUUGCUUCCUAGUCCAACAUCCCAGCCAAAAAUGCUUUGCUAAAGCUGGUAAAAUGGAACCAAAUCAACUGUUAAAUGGAUUUGGUCCCCUUCAACCAGCUGUAGCUGUGCAUUGAUCACAGCCAAACUGACAUGAACAAGGAGUGACAGACACACAAAAAUACAACGAAAUAAGUAAAGAAGAGGGAUGAUGAUGGUGGAAAAACCCUGGGAAGUGAUUAUUAGACGAGGCUCAUAGUCCCGCUUGGCCUUCAGACAGCCACUUUAAAUCUGUCAAAUCCAGUGCUCGUACAGAGACAGUUGGACAGCCAUUGGAUCUAGGGGCGGCUAGCCAAGCAAGAAUCAAUGAUUGUGGGGAUUUAUCUAAUCAAACACAUUUCCUCAAAGCAUUUCCAAAUUUCAGGUAAGUGACCAUGUACUGUAUACAUUUGUCCGUUGUUAUAGAUUAUAGGAAUAUCUAGAUUGUAUGUUCAGGUUUGUUGUGUGAAAGCAGGAGUGUCGUGUGAUUAAAAAGCUAACUUUGUGUGUGUGUGAUAUUACUCUUGCACAAAUGUCUGUGCACACAUACACACCUAUGUGAUACCUUAUGCUAAUGUCUGAUCAAUAAAGGCCCAUCCUUGAGUUACCUAAACUGCUGAAGUGAUCUUUGCUUGGACGUGUGGUCUUACUGGGGAGAGAUGGCUGAUAUAGUGAGGUCAGUUCGGGCUGGCAGUGUGGUGAGCAGUUGCGGUCUUAAAAGAGGUAGGAGGCAUAGGUAGCUGGCCGUUUUUUUUUAACACAAACAGAGACGAAGCAAGACGAGUCUAAGCGUGAAAAUAAAAUUAAGGGGUUAGGAAAAGGGUUAAUAAAUAAAGUUACCCAAGUGGCUCAAAUAAAAGAAAAAAGCGAAAAGACACCAGUAAGUAUUUGGCCACGCUGCCAAAGAUUACACACUUUUUUACCGCUACUGUUUGGGAUACAGACAGGAAUAAAGCGUUGAACAUGCCGCUACAGCAGCAGCAGCUAGCUUUGAAGUGGCGCUAGGUGAAGACCUUUGAGAAG
ensembl:lncRNA